rfam:Colwellia sp. 39_35_sub15_T18 BD02T18sub15_scaffold_2, whole genome shotgun sequence.
GGGGCGGAUCUAGGAUUCGACAAGAUUCAUGAAACCCAAGGUGCAUGCCCAGGGGCGGUUUGCCUGGUAAAAAGCCGUAAAACUAUAAUUGCUAACGACGAUACGUUCGCACUAGCCGCUUAAGGCUAGCCAUCACCUCAUAAAUUGUCCUGUUGUUUCGAGGAUUGAUGGUCACCCCAAAUAGGAUAGCGAGGGAAGCACGCUUAAGGCUGAACCGCGAAAUAGUAUUAAGCUCACCAUGACGAAGCCUGUCGCUUGGCGUCUAAUUGGUUAAAUAAAUAAGCGACUAAGCAUGUAGUACCGAGGAUGUAGGCUUUUUGGACGGGGGUUCGAUUCCCCCCCGCUCCACCA